GCCGGCCACACUGGGACUGAGACACGGCCCAGACUCCUACGGGAGGCAGCAGUGGGGAAUAUUGCACAAUGGGCGAAAGCCUGAUGCAGCGACGCCGCGUGAGGGAUGACGGCCUUCGGGUUGUAAACCUCUUUCAGCAGGGAAGAAGCGAAAGUGACGGUACCUGCAGAAGAAGCGCCGGCUAACUACGUGCCAGCAGCCGCGGUAAUACGUAGGGCGCAAGCGUUGUCCGGAAUUAUUGGGCGUAAAGAGCUCGUAGGCGGCUUGUCACGUCGGUUGUGAAAGCCCGGGGCUUAACCCCGGGUCUGCAGUCGAUACGGGCAGGCUAGAGUUCGGUAGGGGAGAUCGGAAUUCCUGGUGUAGCGGUGAAAUGCGCAGAUAUCAGGAGGAACACCGGUGGCGAAGGCGGAUCUCUGGGCCGAUACUGACGCUGAGGAGCGAAAGCGUGGGGAGCGAACAGGAUUAGAUACCCUGGUAGUCCACGCCGUAAACGGUGGGCAC
rnacentral:rRNA from 1 species